rnacentral:tRNA from 1 species
GGGGGGAUAGCUCAAGUGGUAGAGCACAUGCUUAGCAGGCACAAAGUCCUGGGUUCAAUCCCCGGGACCUCCU